ACUCUAUAUUAAAUGAACUGCCCCCUUCAGUGGUGAGGAGGGAAAAAUACCGCAUUUAGCGCCACGGUGUUUGGACCAUUUGUGUUCUGGUUGUACAUUGGAUCUCAUGUCACCUCAACAACUCUGCUGCUCCAGCGCCGGUUCACACCGUUAGCUAGCUAGGUAUUUUUGGUUUGGUUAAUUGAGCUGGACAGAAAUCCUGCUUCGUUCUCCACAGAGAAACCGCAUACAUGCACUUUUAGUUCCUGGGGGUUUUCACCGCUGUUAAGUAAUGAGGGCAAAUAUGAAAGGAGAUUGAUGUUCACAGACUUUUCUGGAAGUUGUAAAUAAAAGCUCGGAUCUCGUAAGGCUUCAGCUUCUCCCGGACGAGUGCACGGAACUUUUCGGGGUUAUGGUUGACAUGUUAAAGACUCGUCAGUGUUUGUUCUGUGUCCGCACUUUCUUCAGCGUGACGUCCAAGUUAUGGAGUUUAUUUCUGUACAUCCUCAGGAAACCUCUGAGAACGAUUAUUCAAUAUCAGACGGUGCGAUAUGACAAUUUACCCUUGUCACCGUUGUCUAGAACCAGACUUAAUGCAGUAAAGCGGAAGAUUCUAGUUUUAGACCUCGAUGAGACGUUGAUUCACUCUCAUCAUGACGGGGUUCUGAGGCCAUCAGUACGGCCUGGCACGCCACCAGACUUUAUCCUUAAAGUUGUUAUAGACAAGCACCCAGUCAGAUUCUUUGUGCAUAAAAGGCCCCAUGUGGACUUCUUCUUGGAGGUUGUCAGUCAGUGGUACGAGCUCGUAGUGUUCACUGCUAGUAUGGAAAUCUACGGAUCUGCGGUAGCGGACAAGCUGGACAACAACAAAGGCAUCUUGAAGCGCAGAUACUACAGACAGCAUUGCACGCUGGAUCUGGGUAGUUAUAUAAAAGACCUGUCAAUCAUACACGGUGAUCUUUCCAGUAUAGCAAUUCUUGACAACUCUCCUGCAGCGUAUCGCAGUCAUCCAGGUAACAUAUCAAUCUAUUGUCUAUCUACCCAUUACUUACUUUAUUUAUUUUAUUUUUGUUUAAAUAUAGGAGAGCAUUUGUGUGAUUGUGUGUGUGGGUGAUGGUGUGUGGGUGACUGUGUGCACAUAGUCAGUUUAGCCUGAACAUUACAGCAAAAACGAUAUCCUUUUUCCAUUUUUAAGACCAGUUUGUCCAUAUGCACAGGGUUUUCUGGUCAUCACAUGAUCUUGUUAAUUCCUCACAAGGAUUAGAAACUAUUAAAUGAGUUCAUUGUGUUUAACAGUACUGGAGUUUAUAAUUUAUGUCAAAGCAAAACCAUAACAAAGCAUAUCGAUGGUUUUUAACGUGACUUAAUGGAUUUCAGCAAAAUGAGUAGCUUUUUGAUGUGAUAUCUCUUAUCAAGCUCCAUGUCGCACUACCUGCUAGCUUAAAAUACUCCUCACUUAUUCACUGGGCACAAAGUCACACAAAGACAUGGCUAUUAGUGGUGGUCUGUUCAGUUUGUUUCUUAAAUAUACUAGUUUUGUGAUUUUACUGUGAUUUCCCUAUAUAUAGGCUAAUCUAUAUUUAAAAGGGUAUGAUGGGAACCAAAACUCACCAUUUAUCACACUACUGGUUCCUUAGCCAACUACAACUUUAAUAUCAGAGCUAUCCUGGUUUUAAUAAUGCAAUACCCAUAAAAUCAUGGUUCAGUGAUCCCGGUGAUACAGCACUUCUUAACCUUCUGCCAAUGUUGGAUGCACUAAGAUUCACAGCUGACGUUCGGUCCGUCCUUAGUCGAAACCUGCACCAGCAUCAAC